GAUAUGGCUCAGGAUGAACGCUAGCGGCAGGCUUAACACAUGCAAGUCGAGGGGCAGCAUAAUGGAUAGCAAUAUCUAUGGUGGCGACCGGCGCACGGGUGCGUAACGCGUAUGCAACCUACCUUUAACAGGGGGAUAACACUGAGAAAUUGGUACUAAUACCCCAUAAUAUCAUAGAAGGCAUCUUUUAUGGUUGAAAAUUCCGAUGGUUAGAGAUGGGCAUGCGUUGUAUUAG
rnacentral:rRNA from 1 species